CCUUGCGCUCCCGUUGAAACGCCUGGUUGUUGUUUCCCGGGGCUUGGAGGAAGGAGAAGUUACCUCUGCUCUGCCGCAGGUUUUCGGGACACCGAGAGAGGACAGCGGGAUCUGCCGAGGAAGCUUUUCUUUCCCCUGUGACCACCCGGCUGGCCGUUAAACUGAAUGGAGUAGCGGGAUAAAAAGGCAGGAGGGAUUUAACCUUAUCCAUCACCUUGUAAAGCACGGCGCGGUGAGAGCGGCAACGUGCAGCACUGCUGCGCUGGAUUGUGUAGGGAGCAAACAAGGGAAUAACACAAACAGAGAUGGUUUACUACCCGCGGGGACCUUCACACACACCACUGCUGCUACUGCUCCUCUGAACUUUUCAGUCCUAGAAGUGCGCAGACGAGAAGGGGGUUAAGAAAAAGGGGCUCGUUCUUAUCAGCAAGAAGGGAUUAAUGAUGCCGGACCAAAUCACAGUUGCAGAGUUUGUGGCAGAGACCAAUGAAGAUUACAAAUCGCCGACCGCCUCUAACUUCACCACCAGGAUGUCCCAGUGUAGGAAUACAGUGGCUUCCCUGGAGGAGGCUCUGGAUGUGGAUCGCAGCGUACUGUACAAGAUGAAGAAGUCUGUGAAAGCCAUCUACACGUCUGGGCUAGCACAUGUAGAAAAUGAGGAGCAGUACACUCAGGCCCUGGAGAAGUUUGGAGAAAACUGUGUGUACAGAGACGAUCCUGAUCUGGGCUCGGCUUUCCUCAAGUUCUCCGUCUUCACCAAGGAGCUCACAGCGCUUUUCAAAAACCUUUUCCAAAACAUGAACAACAUCAUCACCUUCCCUCUGGACAGCCUACUGAAAGGAGACCUGAAGGGUGUCAAAGGGGAUCUGAAAAAGCCCUUCGACAAAGCCUGGAAGGACUACGAAACAAAAGUCACCAAGAUAGAAAAGGAAAAGAAGGAGCAUGCGAGACAGCAUGGGAUGAUUAGGACGGAAAUCAGCGGGGCAGAAAUCGCUGAAGAGAUGGAGAAAGAGAGAAGAUUCUUCCAGCUGCAGAUGUGUGAGUAUCUCCUCAAAGUCAAUGAGAUCAAGAUCAAGAAGGGGGUGGAUCUGCUGCAGAACCUUAUCAAGUAUUUCCACGCACAGUGCAAUUUCUUUCAGGACGGUCUAAAAGCUGUGGACAACCUCAAACCUUCCAUAGAGAAGCUGGCCACAGAUCUGCACACGAUAAAGCAGGUGCAAGACGAGGAGAGGAAGCAGCUGGCUCAGUUACGAGACGUCCUCAAGUCGGCGUUACAGGUGGAGCAGAAGGAGGAUUCACAGGUGCGUCAGAGCACCACCUACAGCCUGCACCAGCCGCAGGGCAACAAGGAGCACGGCACGGAGCGCAGCGGGUACCUUCACAAGAAAAGUGAUGGGUUGAGGAAAGUGUGGCAGAAGAGGAAGUGUACAGCGAAGAACGGAUUCCUCACUAUCUCACACGGCACAGCUAACCGGCCGCCAGCUAAACUCAACCUGCUCACCUGCCAGGUGAAACACAAUCCUGAAGAGAAGCGGAGUUUUGACCUCAUAUCACAUGACAGAACUUAUCACUUUCAGGCCGAGGACGACCAGGACUGUCAAAUCUGGAUCUCGGUGCUACAGAACAGUAAGGAGGAGGCGUUAAAUCAGGCUUUUAAAGGGGACCAUCAUGUCGGCGAGAACAACAUCGUGCAGGAGCUGACCAAGGCGAUACUGGGGGAAGUCAAGCGGAUGAUAGGGAAUGAUGUUUGCUGUGACUGCGGAGCCCCGAACCCGACUUGGCUAUCCACCAACCUGGGCAUCCUCACCUGUAUUGAAUGCUCAGGGAUACACAGGGAGCUGGGAGUCCACUACUCGCGGAUCCAGUCCCUCACGCUGGAUGUACUCAGCACCUCAGAGCUCUUGCUGGCCAAGAAUGUGGGGAAUGUAGGCUUUAAUGAAAUCAUGGAGGCUUGUUUAAGCGCUGAAAACGUGGUGAAACCCAACCCGACCAGUGACAUGCAGGCGAGGAAAGACUUCAUCACAGCCAAAUACACGGAGAAACGUUUCGCCAAGAAGAAGUGUCCGGAUGCGACGUCGCGGCUUCACACGCUGUGCGAUGCAGUGAAGGCCCGAGACAUCUUCUCCCUCAUCCAGGUCUACGCUGAGGGGGUGGACCUCAUGGAGCCCAUUCCUCUGGCCAACGGGCAUGAACAAGGAGAGACGGCUCUUCAUCUAGCGGUGAGGCUGGUGGACAGAACGUCCCUUCACAUUGUCGACUUCCUCACUCAGAACAGUUUAAAUUUGGAUAAGCAGACAGCCAAAGGCAGCACAGCGCUGCACUACUGCUGCCUGACUGACAACAGUGAAUGUCUGAAGCUGCUGCUGCGGGGGAAAGCCUCCAUAGAGAUUGCUAAUGAGGCCGGGGAGACACCGCUGGAUAUCGCUCGAAGGCUCAAACACCUACAGUGUGAGGAGCUGCUGAAUCAAGCACUGGCAGGAAAAUUCAACGCCCACGUCCACGUCGAGUAUGAAUGGUGCCUGCAGCACGAAGAUCUGGAUGAGAGCGACGAGGAUCUGGAUGAGAAGCCGAGCCCCCAUCGGAGAGACGAGCGACCGGUCAGCUGUUACACCCCGAGCAGUAACUCCCACCACGUACAGUCCGGCCUGGGCUCCGCAGGCCGUGAAGCUAAGGACAAGCAGCGCCCCUUCAUGCCCAACCUGGUCAACAACGAGACUUACGGCACCAUAGUCAACACAAACCCCCCUCAGCCCACCACCAACUCUGCUCCACCUCUGCCCCCGAGGAACCUGGUCCAGUUGUCCGGCCCGGGAGGCUCAGCGUCCAGCAGUUGGAAGCCCAGUCCUUUAGACCUGACUGGCCGACAGAGGUCGUCCUCAGACCCACCCAACAUGCAUCCUCCGCUGCCGCCCAUGAGGCUCACUUCCACUGGAGCUCUGGGUCUUCCUACUGCGAUGAAGAUGGACUCCAUGAGCAAGUCAGGUCAGGGGCCACUGGGGUCCCGGGCGGUGCCACCUAAAUCUCCCGCAGGAAAUGAUAAAAGCUUCAGCAGAGGGCCCCUAAAUCGAACAGAAUCUAAAGAAAGAGCAUCUAAGGAACUGCCAGGAUGCCCUCAGAACUCCAUAGGUCAGUCUCUGCCUCCAGCCCCCAUGCCGAGGAAAGCAUACUCAAAGCAGAGGCCGAAGCGAGUGAAAGCCAUGUACAACUGUGUAGCCGACAACCCCGAUGAGCUGACCUUCUCCGAGGGCGAGGUGAUCGUGGUGGACGGAGAGGAGGACCAGGAGUGGUGGGUAUAGACGACCUUUAAAAUGUCUUUAAUGGAGAUAAUAGAUACUGUCUUCUUUAUCCUCAAGCUGGGCCACAUCGAAGGCGAGCCAAUGAGAAGAGGCGCCUUCCCCGUUACGUUUGUGCACUUCAUCGCUGACUGAAAUCCAGGACUCGGGAAGUAUCACCGACAAAACAUUCACCAUCGCCCCAGUGUUUGCAGUCGACAUCAUCGGCACCAUCAUCACCAUCUCCGCUGGCGUCUCGAGCGAGCUCGUUCAAGCGUCACUGCUGCUCCAGCGAGUCUGGGUGUCACAGGGGACUCAUCGGACUCUGUGGUUUUAAUGCUUGCAGUUAAAAAAGAAAACAAAGAUGAUUGUAGUGAAUGUCCUCUCGCAAUAAAUGCACUUUUCUUGUCUUUUCCCUUGUUGACAUGUAUGUACAGGAUUCCUCUCAUCCAUUUUCUCCAUUAUACAGACAGUCCUUAAAGCGACAGCACUGAGAAGAUCACAGUGUUGUAUUUUAACUUACUAACAGCUGUCAAUGUGAACUUAGUCCCCAUGCUUACAUUCCAUAUCUGCGCAUGAGCAAUUCUGAAAUGCCUGCUUUUAGGUGCAGCUUUCCACAUAUGUAGUAGCCCUCCCGUGUGGAGGUUUUCCUAAUGGUGCUAAGUUAACCUUAAAAUAUGCUGGAAGUUGCACCCAAGGGAGCCUUUCCCUGACCCAAUUUAAGUGACGGACUGGCAAUCGAGAGCGGGGAUGCUGCAUGUUAAAAUAGCCUCCAGCCCAUCACACCUGGGAGAGUCCGCUUUCCCGAGCCGGCAUAGAGUAAUAGGAACAUGCAUCCUCUGCAAGGCUUUCCCCCACACAUGCACACUGCCUGCACCAAUUUAAGCUGCGGGGCAGGGGGUCAUAUUCAAAAGCAACACUCCAGUUAUUCAUCCUCUUCUUCUUCUUCCUGAUGCAAUGCUGACUGGAGCUGCAGCAGGCAGUAAUUACCUUUAUGCUGAGUCCUGACACCUCAGGCCGUCUCCACCUGUCAUCUGCCUUAUUAGAGGAAUAGAAGCGUGUGCUUGUAUGUAUGAGAGUGCAUGUUUUGUCUGCACGGAAAUAAGCUGCAAAUGAAAGCAUAUUCAAAUAACAGGGAGCAAAAAAAAAAUGAGAGCGUGGGAAUGAGAUGAAAAGCGGGAGUAAGCUCUGUGACUUUUGUUGCUUCCUAGAGACACUUUUUCUUCACAGAUGAGCUAAAUAAAUUCUGUUUCCAGAGAGAGAGGGAACACCCUUCCUGCAGCUUAAGCCUCAUAUAGUACUUCUAAGACAAGUUUAUCUAAUGCAUUAUGAAAUAAAUAUUAAACAUAGUGUAAUUAACUUCAUUUUAGUUGCAGAGCAACUUUCUCUCUGUUCAUAUUGUUGAUAUUUAGGCAUUUAACCUGAAAUCGGAGCCUUUCGUGGAUUUGUGAAUGACGAGAAGAGAGGGCGGCAGCUGACGCGCACUCUCUCCACCGUGUUUAUUAUUAACUCACUGGAUUGUUAAAUUUGUUUGUGUAAAUAGAGCAGGUUUUGUUUGUGGAUAUUUAAAUGUAAAAUAUUGAAAAUAAAAGGAAGGAAAAAAAAAAAAGAUGAGCAGGUUAACCCGGGCAGUAAAUGUCUUUUAAUGCACUGUGGUGAUGAGCAGUCACACAACCUCAGCUGGGCCUGUGUGUGUGCUGUAAACAUGAAUACAGACAUUAAUGUGUGCACGCACACACACAAACACUAUUCAAAUCAUUCUCAUUAACAGUCUGUGAAUCACUGCAUUGACUCUUAACUCUGUUGUGCAAGUAAAUCGGAGAAAAAAACCCAAACUGGAAUAAUAAAAUAUGAAAUA